UCAGCCUUUGGCUGAUAAUAGUGUUUGGUAGGGUACCCGGGGAACUGAAACAUCUAAGUACCCGGAGGAAAAGAAAUCAUAGAGAUUCCCUAAGUAGCGGCGAGCGAAAAGGGAGAAGUCUAAACCGAGCUCAGCUCGGGGUUGCAGGGCAGACGAUAUUUGGUGUUUUAUAUAGCAGAACAGCUUGGAAUAGCUGACCAUAGAGGGUGAAAGUCCUGUAUGCGAAAUGUAAGACACUGAUAGUUUGUACCUAAGUACCAUGGAGGAAGUACUCUGUGGGAAUCUGGGGCGACCACGUUCCAAGACUAAAUACCAAGACCUACCGAUAGUGAACUAGUACCGUGAGGGAAAGGUGAAAAGCACCCCGGGAGGGGGAUGAAAUAGACCUGAAAUUGUCGGCUGACAAGCAGAGAGAGCCGGAGGACAGAGUACAGAAGUCAGAGGACAGAUUGCAGAGAAACAGAAGACAGAAGAUCAGGAUUAAAAUCUUGAUGUUUUGUAUCUCUGUCAUCUGAUAUCCGUCUUCCGUUAUUCUGUCUUCUGUCCUCUGGUGAUCUCGUGCCUAUUGAAGAAUGAACCGGUGAGUUAUCUUAGUGUGCGUUUAAGCUUAAGCCAGUUUCUGGCGGAGGCGUAGUGAAAGCAAGCUCUAACCGAGCUACUUAGUACAUUGGGAUAGACCCGAAACCGGGUGAGCUAACCUUGAGCAGGGUGAACCCCGAUGAAAGUCGGGGGAAGGCCCGCACUCGUAUCCGUAGCAAUGGGUUGAGAUGACUUGAGGUUAGAGGCAAUAUGCCAAACGAACCCGGAGAUAGCUGGUUCUCCCCGAAAUAUAUUUUGGUAUAGCGGGACGAUACAAUGAUCUAGGGGUAGAGCACUGAAUGGUCUUCGGCGGCGCAAGCUGUCGUAACCAAUCAAACUCCGAAUACUAGAUUAUAUUCGUUCUAGUCAGGCUGGUCGGGCUAAGCUGAUCAGUCAAAAGGGAAACAGCCCAGACUCCCAUCUAAGGCCUCUAAAUAAAGGCUAAGUUUUGAAGGAAGUUACAAUCCAGAGACAACCAGGAGGUUGGCUUAGAAGCAGCCAUCCUUUAAAGAAAGCGUAACAGCUCACUGGAGGAUGUCCACGUCUAACGUGGCAGGUUUGUAGCGCCGAAAAUGUAACGAGGAU
rnacentral:rRNA from 1 species